GGUGGUGUAGCUCAGUGGUAGAGCACUUGCCCAGCUUGCACAAGGCCCUGGGUUCAACCCCCAGCACCACAA
rnacentral:tRNA from 1 species